rnacentral:misc_RNA from 1 species
AUGUCCGAUCUCCGGAAGAGGACCGUCGCGGACACCGCCGACGCCGUCGACCAAAAGGCGGAGAAGGAAGACGUCAACGAAGACCACAAGGAAGACGUUGAGUCCGAAGACGAUGCCAAGCUCGAGGUUGAUGAGCUGGCCAAAACCUUGCCUCAGGGGACGAAUCACAUACCAAACGUGCUGCACACAGCCUUGUCUAACUUGCCAGACCGUUGGAGAAACUGGGUGAUUCGGGGCAUUUCAGCAUGGCUGAUGAUAGCCGGAUUUUGUCUUGUUAUUUAUGGGGGACCUUUAGCGUUAAUGAUCACGACAUUAGUCGUGCAAGUAAAGUGCUACGAAGAAAUUAUCAACAUUGGUUAUGCUGUCUACAGAAUACAUGGGUUGCCAUGGUUCCGAUCAUUGUCUUGGUACUUCUUGGUUACUUCGAAUUAUUUCUUUUACGGAGAAAGCCUGAUGGAUUACUUUGCAGUGGUAAUUAGUCGUACGGAAUAUUUGCGAGUGCUCGUAACCUACCACCGAUUCAUAUCAUUUUGCCUCUACAUUGUGGGCUUCGUUUGGUUCGUUCUGUCCCUCGUUAAGAAAUAUUACAUGAAGCAGUUCUCACUUUUUGCGUGGACUCACGUUGCAUUGUUAAUCGUUGUGACGCAAAGCUAUUUGAUUAUUAAAAAUAUCUUCGAAGGAUUGAUAUGGUUCAUCGUACCAGUAAGCAUGAUUGUGAUUAACGACACAAUGGCAUAUGUUUUUGGUUUCUUCUUUGGAAGAACGCCCUUGAUUAAGUUAUCACCAAAGAAGACUUGGGAAGGAUUCAUCGGUGGCGGUAUUUCGACUGUCGUACUAGGACUAUUGGUAUCGUACGUGAUGUGUCAAUACCGCUACUUCGUGUGUCCGAUCGAGUACAGUGAAGUUCUGGGACGCAUGACCAUGGACUGUGAACCCUCUAGUCUUUUCCGACCCCAGGAAUAUCAUCUACCAGAGUUUUUGCGAGCCUUCACUAAAGCGUUUAACAUGAAAUCCACAAUAAUGGUCUAUCCAUUUCUCCUGCACUCCUUGUCGAUGGCAGUAUUUAGUUCUGUGAUCGGUCCCUUUGGGGGAUUCUUCGCAAGUGGCUUCAAGAGGGCUUUCAAAAUUAAGGACUUCGGUGAUGUGAUUCCAGGUCACGGAGGAAUAAUGGACAGAUUCGACUGUCAAUACUUAAUGGCAACUUUCGUCAAUGUGUAUAUCACUUCUUUCAUUCAUACCGAUUCACCGCAGAGAAUCCUGCAACAGGUGUACAGCUUGAAACCCGAAGAGCAAAUGCACCUGUUCAAUUCUCUGCGUGAUACGCUGGAGCACAGGGGGCUCCUAAAUGCAACAUAAAUCGCCGAAGGUCAGAGGCGGAUUCCUUUGUUAUUCUAUUUUUUAUUUGUCUCCGAUUACUCCACUAACGAUUGCAAUGAACAAUUGGUAAGAAGUACAAAGGUAUAAAGGAGGGGAAGAGGCCGUGAUCGAUGUCCUAACGAAUGCCUAAUGCGCCCAAAAGUAAGAUACGCAAAUGUUCAAGGGCAAAUUCGCAGAAAGGCUCGGGAAGUGACUUCGCAGUUGACAUUCUUCCAGAGAAUCGUUUUCCGAGCACGUAGCGCACCUCGGGGGCUCAUCUGGAGCUCGCAAAAAAAAGUCUACUUCCGUCUGCAGUAUCCUUAAGGAUCCUUUGAAACAGUUCUCUUUGCUGUCGACACCUUCGAUAAGGUAUCGUCAACCUUUGCCAAGGAUUUUUCCUAUGUUCGUCUUUAUUCUCUAAGUGACUUUGUUGAUUCGAGGCAUCCAUCCUAUGUGGGAUUUGUAUUAGCAGAUUGAGAAGUAACGUGUACUAGUUCUCAGCAUUCAAAUUCAAGAAACUCCUAGUUGUCGAUACAUAAUGGGAUUGAGGGCUGUUCGGAUCAUGUGAUCUGCCAAUUAUUGUGAGAGGAAGAUUAAAUUCAAUCAACUGGUUUGAUUUAAUGUCUCGAAUGUUAACUUUUGCAUGUUUCGUUGAUGGUUUAGGUAGUUUUUCGUUGUGCAUUCCGCAGUUUUCGCCGAGAAACGUCGAGCUGAUAGAUCGUAUUAAAAAUCCGCCCGCAACUGGGGAAAUAUGUGCCAUGAUAUUUCUUUUUCAUAAAAUGGAAACAACUUUUAGAAAUUAAUGAAGAAUUCGCUAGACGUUUCCCUGGCCGUGUGUAAUGACAGAUCUCUGGUCUGUCAUCAUGCCGGUUGUAUCGGCUUACAUUUCGCGUUCAUUUCGCCCAAUCGUGCAUUUAGUCUGGAGGUGGAUAAUACCUCAUAGUGAUUCGUCGUAUUUAAUCGGCGCGUUAUAGUUAUUAUACGUAUAGGAUUCAGAUUUGCAACGUUGCAUAGACAAACUUUACGGAUCAAAGAGAAAAAUUCUUUAACCAGGCCACAAAAAUUUCUGCAGUUUGUACAAUCUGUAAAUUUUUAUGGCGUGGUUCGAUUAAAUGUUUAAAUUUAAAGAUUAUUUAUAGGUUUCGCUUUAACCAAGUCGAAAAGUCUUCCUGACCAAUCUUAUGCAUCGUUUUGCAUAGCACGAAGAGGUUAUGAUUUUGCAAUUUUGGUAACAAACUGAAUCAAAAGAUCUGAUCCAAGAACUUUGCAAAUUUGAGACGUACUCUCCUCGUUGAUGGAUGUUAGACCUCUUGACUUUGGGUGCUAUGGCCACGUCACGUAUUCCACGGAAUAAGAGGCCAAGAGAUACUUACCACCACUCGUGUUGGGGCGAACUGCAGCUCCGACCGUUAGUAAAAACCAAAUUAGGCAUACGUACCCACGUGUACCGGCAUUACUAAGUGUAUAAAUGUAUCCUCUCCUGCCGUGGGGGAUGCUCGUCGUUUUGCAGAAUAUUUAAAUGUCAGUGUCAUGUAAUAAAGCGUCUAAUUUCUCGUUCCUUGUCUUCGUUGUAAUUUUGGCAGAGAGAGAAAGGAAGUAUGAGUGAGCGAGAUGGGUCGUUAGAUCAUCCGUUAGAAAAAAACAAGAAAGAAAGAAAACUCAGAUCGGUUAUAUUGUCUAUUUGUAGUAACGUCCCGUUGCACCAUUGUUUUAAGCUUUAAUGUACUUUAAGUUUUUAAAGUAUAACUCACUGUAUUUACUUAGGUACAGAAAAAUAUAUAAAUAUAUCUAUAUAUUAUUUAUUGAAGAGCGACGCCAAUACAUAGAUGUAAGCAUUACGUUGAGGAUAUUAAAUAAUUCUAUGGAUCACUUAGGAUGAAAGCACUUGAAUCGUGGUUUAAUUUCGAUGAAGUAAAUUACAUUAAUUUUAUUCAAAUCCAUCUUUCAGGUGUCUUCACCCCCGAUCGACUCCCCUAAAUAGUCCAACUUGAAUCCUCCUUCCUCAGAUUUCAAUGUCAUUUCACAACACUAAAAAAAAAAUCAAGAUACUUGUAAUGUCGCUAUCUCAUAAUGACAGGGACUUAUUUGUAACACAAUAAAGUCUAAGAACAA